rnacentral:lncRNA from 1 species
UUCACGAACAACAGUAGGUCAGAAAUCAUUCUUUUGUGAUAGAUUGUUAUAUAUUUAUAUGUGUUUUUUAAUAACAUUUACCUUAAAACUGUUAUUAUUUUUAUGUCAGACUUUUUCAUUUCUCAGCCUUUACUCAUGUGAGUGAGACAGUAUUGGGAUCCUUUUGCAGAACUAUAAAGCAGUAUGACACCAGGUGCCCUGCGGUUGUGAUAAUAACAUGGCUUUUAUAGAAGAAAAGUCUAUUGAAAUAUGAACAAUAGUAAACGUGUUUCAACAAAAAUUAUGUAAUGGAAAAAUACAAAUCUUGUAUAUGUAGGCUAAGUGGUACCUAAACAUCAACUGAAUUUCCUAAUUUUUCUUUGUUUUGAGAUUUGGCCCUCUUUCUGUAUUUCUCCUGUUGAUUAAUGGCAUCAAAAUUCCUGACUCAGAAAACAUAAGUAUCAUCUUUUUAUCCCUGUCAUCUAACCUUUUUAUUAUUUUAUUUUAUUAAAAUUUUUUUUUAGUUGUAAAUGGACAUGAUACUUUUAUUUUAUUUAUUUAUUUUUAUAUGAUGCUGAGGAUGGAACCCAGUGCCUCACACGUGCUAGGCAAGUGCUCUACCACUGAGCUACAACUCCAGCCCUCCCUAACCUUUUAAUCUUUUCUCUUCAACCCAAGUUUUAGUAGCUUCCCCCUUUAGUCUCCCUAUUUCUGAUUUGGCAUCAGAUCCUAUUAGGCUUGCUGGCUUUGGACCCACUUGCCUGCCAUUGCCUUGGUUUGGAUCCUUCUAGUUGUUCAUCUGGGUGGAGGAAUGGCCUCUCCACUGUCUCCAGCCUCUGUGGUGGCAAAAUAAACUUGAGAAAGUGGAAUCUGAUCCUGUCAUUGGAAGAUUUGAUAGCUCCUCUGUCCAUGGAGGAAUUUGUUUGCUUUAUUGCGGCACAGAAUCAGCCUGAUUUUGGUACCAGUUUUUAUUUGACUGAGUAGCUGCAGGCCUUAGCUCCUACUGCUCCUGUAAUGCUCCACGGUGACCUUCUCAGACAUCCCUGCCUCACCUGGGUAUUCCAAACCUUCUCUGGAUCUGCUGCUCCUCUACCUGGAACACUAUUCUUCACCACUGCCCCCGCAGUGGCCACACUCAGUGCCACCUUGUUUCUGAUCCACCCCAAAAUCCAUUAUUUUAUACCUGAGUUUAUUUUUUCU